AAUAAUGGCCCAAUUAAGGUUAUUGUUUGGAAAACUUCAAAUACCACCCCAUUAGUUUCACACUUUCUCACUUUAGUAUCAUGUGAUUUAAAAUAUAUUACUUUCGUACACUGUGAUUUUAUUUUUCUCUUUUUGUUAUCCUUUCCACUAUAAGGUGGGGUAUUUAGAGUUUUUUGUGCAUGAUUUAAUGAAAAGUUAACGAAGAGACUGACGAAAAGAGAAAAAUAAAACAACAGGAUACUAAAUUGAUACACUUUAAACCAUAGAUUAAAGAGAGAAAGUGCGAAAUCAUAGAGGUGGUUUUUUUUUUUUUUUUUUUUUUUUUUUUUUUUUUUUUUUUUUUUUUUUUUUUUUUUUU
rnacentral:lncRNA from 1 species